ACGUUAGCGGCGGACGGGUGAGUAACACGUGGGUAACCUACCUAUAAGACUGGGAUAACUUGGGAAACCGGAGCUAAUACCGGAUAAUAUUUCGAACCGCAUGGUUCGAUAGUGAAAGAUGGUUUUGCUAUCACUUAUAGAUGGACCUGCGCCGUAUUAGCUAGUUGGUAAGGUAACGGCUUACCAAGGCGACGAUACGUAGCCGACCUGAGAGGGUGAUCGGCCACACUGGAACUGAGACACGGUCCAGACUCCUACGGGAGGCAGCAGGU
rnacentral:rRNA from 1 species